GAUGAACGCUGGCGGCGUGCCUAAUACAUGCAAGUCGAGCGAACGGACGAGAAGCUUGCUUUUCUGAUGUUAGCGGCGGACGGGUGAGUAACACGUGGAUAACCUACCUAUAAGACUGGGAUAACUUCGGGAAACCGGAUCUAAUACCGGAUAAUAUUUUGAACCGCAUGGUUCAAAAGUGAAAGACGGUCUUGCUGUCACUUAUAGAUGGAUCCGCGCUGCAUUAGCUAGUUGGUAAGGUAACGGCUUACCAAGGCAACGAUGCAUAGCCGACCUGAGAGGGUGAUCGGCCACACUGGAACUGAGACACGGUCCAGACUCCUACGGGAGGCAGCAGUAGGGAAUCUUCCGCAAUGGGCGCAAGCCUGACGGAGCAACGCCGCGUGAGUGAUGAAGGUCUUCGGAUCGUAAAACUCUGUUAUUAGGGAAGAACAUAUGUGUAAGUAACUGUGCACAUCUUGACGGUACCUAAUCAGAAAGCCACGGCUAACUACGUG
rnacentral:rRNA from 1 species